GUGAACGCUGGCGGUAGGCCUAACACAUGCAAGUCGCACGGCAGCACAGUAAGAGCUUGCUCUUACGGGUGGCGAGUGGCGGACGGGUGAGGAAUACAUCGGAAUCUACUUUUUCGUGGGGGAUAACGUAGGGAAACUUACGCUAAUACCGCAUACGACCUACGGGUGAAAGCAGGGGAUCUUCGGACCUUGCGCGAUUGAAUGAGCCGAUGUCGGAUUAGCUAGUUGGCGGGGUAAAGGCCCACCAAGGCGACGAUCCGUAGCUGGUCUGAGAGGAUGAUCAGCCACACUGGAACUGAGACACGGUCCAGACUCCUACGGGAGGCAGCAGUGUGGAAUAUUGGACAAUGGGCGCAAGCCUGAUCCAGCCAUACCGCGUGGGUGAAGAAGGCCUUCGGGUUGUAAAGCCCUUUUGUUGGGAAAGAAAAGCAGCAGGUUAAUACCCCGCUGUUCUGACGGUACCCAAAGAAUAAGCACCGGCUAACUUCGUG
rnacentral:rRNA from 1 species